rnacentral:rRNA from 1 species
CAGUCGCCGCGGUAAUACGUAGGGUGCGAGCGUUAAUCGGAUUUACUGGGCGUAAAGCGUGCGCAGGCGGAUCGUUAAGUUGGGGGUGAAAGCCCGGAGCUCAACCUCGGAACUGCCUUCAAUACUGGCGAUCUUGAGUAUGAGAGAGGUGUGUGGAACUCCGAGUGUAGAGGUGAAAUUCGUAGAUAUUCGGAAGAACACCAGUGGCGAAGGCGACACACUGGCUCAUUACUGACGCUGAGGCUCGAAAGCGUGGGGAGCAAACAGGAUUAGAUACCCGUGUAGUCCCUGUCUCUUAUAC